rnacentral:rRNA from 1 species
AGUGAACGCUGGCGGUAGGCCUAACACAUGCAAGUCGAACGGCAGCACAGUAAGAGCUUGCUCUUACGGGUGGCGAGUGGCGGACGGGUGAGGAAUACAUCGGAAUCUACUUUUUCGUGGGGGAUAACGUAGGGAAACUUACGCUAAUACCGCAUACGACCUACGGGUGAAAGCAGGGGAUCUUCGGACCUUGCGCGAUUGAAUGAGCCGAUGUCGGAUUAGCUAGUUGGCGGGGUAAAGGCCCACCAAGGCGACGAUCCGUAGCUGGUCUGAGAGGAUGAUCGGCCACACUGGAACUGAGACACGGUCCAGACUCCUACGGGAGGCAGCAGUGGGGAAUAUUGGACAAGGGGGGCAAGCCUGAGCCAGACAUACCGCGUGGGUGAAGAAGGCCUUCGGGUUGUAAAGCCCUUUUGUGGGGAAAGAAAAGCAGCAGGUUAAUACCCCGCUGUUCCGACGGUACCCAAAGAAUAAGCACCGGCUAACUUCGUG